UACGUAGGGUGCAAGCGUUGUCCGGAAUUAUUGGGCGUAAAGAGCUCGUAGGCGGUCUGUCGCGUCUGCUGUGAAAAUCCAGGGCUCAACCCUGGACCUGCAGUGGGUACGGGCAGACUAGAGUGCGGUAGGGGAGAUCGGAAUUCCUGGUGUAGCGGUGAAAUGCGCAGAUAUCAGGAGGAACACCGGUGGCGAAGGCGGCUCUCUGGGACGGUACUGACGCUGAGACGCGAAAGCGUGGGGAGCGAACAGG
rnacentral:rRNA from 1 species